rnacentral:tRNA from 1 species
GCGCCCGUAGCUCAGUGGAUUAGAGUGUUUGGCUUCGAACCAAAAGGUCGCAAGUUCGAAUCUUGCCGGGCGUACCA